UCCAGGGUAGCCUAGUGGACAUGGCAUCUGCCCGGUAAGCGGAACACUGUGGGUUCGGUUCCUAUCCCUGGAC
rnacentral:tRNA from 1 species